GUGUCGUAUAACGAAACGCUGCAGGCGUUGUCAACCGGCGAGACGAAUUGAUGAAACUGCUUUCCAAAGAACAAUCGCUCUCAGUUCUCACAACCCGAGCGUCGCUGACCACUGGCCAUUACUAAUUCCUCCCUACAACUGACCAGUCUUCCGACAUCUUUAACGUAAGCCAUCUAUAUGACGCAGGCCCCUGUGUUCUCCACACAGGCCUUGAGACAUCGGGUGAAAGCCGUCCUAAAGAUUCACGGGAGGGUAAUGGAAGGUCGACAGGUCAAGCAUGUCAUCACACCCCUAUAAACCAGUAGGACCGGUGUGUGCAUUCAUCAUUCCCCGACUGAAGUACGUACACAUCUACAGGUAUUGAACAGUUUCUGCUUUUCGACACCCAGGCAUCAUAUACAGACAACAUCAUGUCACGCGAGAUGGAGAAGGCGAAAGCCAUCUAUGUCAAAAGUUGUGAGGCAUGCCACGUGAGUUACGCCUCGGACACCACGGAGAAGACAAAAGUAGGACAGACAUGCCCCCAACAGAUUCCAGCCGUGUCCCCUCUUCUCUCCGAAACUUCCUUUCCCUCAAGGGAGAUAACCUUGACAAAAUUUAUUGAUAUUAUCAACUGAAACUGUAUUUGUAUUCGAUGAAGUAUGAAUAAACACAAUUCUUUUGUC